rnacentral:rRNA from 1 species
CGGCCGCAGAGUUUGAUCAUGGCUCAGGACGAACGCUGGCGGCGUGCCUAAUACAUGCAAGUCGAGCGGAGUUGAUGAGGUGCUUGCACCUCUGAUGCUCAGCGGCGGACGGGUGAGUAACACGUAGGCAACCUGCCUGUGAGACUGGGAUAACAUUCGGAAACGAAUGCUAAUACCAGAUACACGAUUUCCUCGCAUGGGGGAAUCGGGAAAGAUGGAGCAAUCUGUCACUUACAGAUGGGCCUGCGGCGCAUUAGCUAGUUGGUGGGGUAACGGCCUACCAAGGCGACGAUGCGUAGCCGACCUGAGAGGGUGAUCGGCCACACUGGGACUGAGACACGGCCCAGACUCCUACGGGAGGCAGCAGUAGGGAAUCUUCCGCAAUGGACGAAAGUCUGACGGAGCAACGCCGCGUGAGUGAUGAAGGCUUUCGGGUCGUAAAGCUCUGUUGCCAGGGAAGAACACUUGGGAGAGUAACUGCUCUCAAGGUGACGGUACCUGAGAAGAAAGCCCCGGCUAACUACGUGCCAGCAGCCGCGGUAAUACGUAGGGGGCAAGCGUUGUCCGGAAUUAUUGGGCGUAAAGCGCGCGCAGGCGGCUUUGUAAGUCUGUCGUUUAAGUUCGGGGCUCAACCCCGUAUCGCGAUGGAAACUGCAAGGCUUGAGUGCAGAAGAGGAAAGUGGAAUUCCACGUGUAGCGG